rnacentral:tRNA from 1 species
GGGCGAUUAGCUCAGUUGGGAGAGCGCUGCAUUCACAUUGCAGAGGUCACUGGUUCGAGACCGGUAUCGCCCACCA